GGGUCGUUAGCUCAGUCGCUUUUUUUAUAAAGCUAGGGCAGUUGGCUUUUAACCAAUCAGUCGAAUGGUUCUAAUCCUUCACGACACACCA
rnacentral:tRNA from 1 species